UUAAGUUCAGCGGGUAUCCCUACCUGAUCCGAGGUCAAACUUUAGAGGUACCUAGGGCCGGUCCCCACACGGGCUCCGAAGCGAGGGUAAGACUUGCUACGCUUAAAGCCAGGCGGUGCCGCCAACCGGUUACAGGCGGGUCCGGAGACCCCGCCCAAGACAAGCCGUGCUUGAUGUUUUUAAAUGACGCUCGAACAGGC
rnacentral:misc_RNA from 1 species